UUUUAGGAGAGCCAACUUUGAUCUCUUCCGGGACCUACUUGGAGCUAUCCCGUGGGCUAGGGUGUUAGAAGGUAAGGGGGCCUGUGAGAGCUGGAUGGCAUUUAAACAGCUCUUCUUCCAAGCUCAGGAUCGGUGCGUCCCUGUGAGCAAGAAAUCGGGAAAAGGUGGCAGGAGACCUGUGUGGAUGAGCAAGGAGCUCAUGCGCAAACUCAAAGGGAAAAAGAAGGUCCAUGAAAUGUGGAAAAAGGGUCUGACCACUCGGGAAGAAUAUAGAAAUGUUGUCAGGGCCUGCAGGGAUGCGACGAGGAAGGCUAAAGCCCAUCUGGAAUUGAAUCUAGCAAAGGUGGUAAAGGAUAAUAAAAAAGGCUUUUUUAAGUAUGUUAACAGUAAAAGGAAGACUAGGGAGAAUGUAGGUCCCCUACUAAGUGAGGGGGGUGUUCUGGUAACGGGGGAUGCUGAGAAGGCGGAGAUACUGAACGCCUUCUUUGCUUCUGUCUUCAGUGAAAAAGUUCCCCCUCGGGAAUCCCAGACCCUGGCAGUUAGUGAGAAGGUCUGGGGAAUGGAAGACUUCCCUUUAGUCAGGGAAGAGGUGGUUCGAGAGCGCCUAGGCAACACCAAUGUUCAUAAAUCCAUGGGACCCGAUGGGGUGCAUCCACGGGUGCUGAGGGAGCUGGCAGAGGUGAUUGCUGAACUGCUCUCUGUCAUCUUUGAGAGGUCUUGGAGAAUGGGGGAGGUGCCUGAAGACUGGAGGAUAGCCAAUGUCACUCCGGUCUUCAAAAAGGGCAAGAAGGAAGAUCCAGGUAAUUACAGGCCAGUCAGCCUCACCUCUGUCCCUGGAAAGGUAAUGGAACAGAUUGUGCUGGAUGCCAUCACCAGACAACUGGAAGAAAAGGAGGUUAUCAGGAGUAGUCAGCAUGGGUUCACCAGGGGGAGGUCGUGCUUGACCAACCUGGUAGCCUUCUAUGAUGUUGUCUCUGGCUGGGUGGAUGGGGGGAGAGCAGUGGAUGUAGUCUACCUUGAUUUCAGCAAGGCGUUUGACACUGUCUCCCACGACAUCCUUAUAACAAAGCUGAGGAAGUGCGGGAUAGAUGAGUGGACAGUGAGGUGGGUUGAGAACUGGCUGACUGGCAGAGCGCAGAGGGUUGUUGUUGGCGGUGCA
rnacentral:lncRNA from 1 species